rnacentral:rRNA from 1 species
UACAGAGGGGGCAAGCGUUGUUCGGAAUUACUGGGCGUAAAGGGCUGGUAGGUGGCCAACUAAGUCAGACGUGAAAUCCCCAGGCUCAACUUGGGAACUGCGUCUGAUACUGGAUGGCUUGAAUUCGGGAGAGGGAUGCAGAAUUCCAGGUGUAGCGGUGAAAUGCGUAGAUAUCUGGAGGAAUACCGGUGGCGAAGGCGGCAUCCUGGACCGAGAUUGACACUGAUGAGCGAAAGCUAGGGGAGCAAACGGG